rnacentral:rRNA from 1 species
ACGAACGCUGGCGGCAUGCCUGACACAUGCAAGUCGAACGAACCCUUCGGGGUUAGUGGCGCACGGGUGCGUAACACGUGGGAAUCUGCCCCUAGGUACGGAAUAACAGUUAGAAAUGGCUGCUAAUACCGUAUGAUGACUCCGGUCCAAAGAUUUAUAGCCUAGGGAUGAGCCCGCGUCGGAUUAGCUAGUUGGUGAGGUAAAGGCUCACCAAGGCGACGAUCCGUAGCUGGUCUGAGAGGAUGAUCAGCCACACUGGGACUGAGACACGGCCCAGACUCCUACGGGAGGCAGCAGUGGGGAAUAUUGGACAAUGGGCGAAAGCCUGAUCCAGCAAUGCCGCGUGAGUGAAGAAGGCCUUAGGGUUGUAAAGCUCUUUUACCCGGGAUGAUAAUGACAGUACCGGGAGAAUAAGCUCCGGCUAACUCCG